ACCGCCCACCGCUGCCCCCCCCGCAGCUCCCUGAGUCCCCACACGCCCCCGGGAGCCUCUACCCCACGCUGCCCAUUUCGCCCCCAGUGGCCCCCAGCGGCUCCCUGCUCCCGCUGCCCCACAGCGAGGGGCUGCUGCACAUCGCCUGCCCCACACCGCCGCCGGCCGCGCCGGCCCAGCCCCCCCCACAGAACGGCUUCCCAGCGCCCCCCAAGCCGCCCUACCACAGUUCACCAAGCUGGAGUGGCAGCAGUGCGGCCAUCUACGCGCCCAGCCUGGGGGGGCCGCAGCCCCCCCCCCAGCCCAGCGGCCGGAGCCACUCACAGCCCCCCCUGCACCACCCCAACCACUACUGUAAGUCUGCAGGAAGGGGCAGUGGGAA